UCUCCGUUGGUGAACCAGCGGAGGGAUCAUUACCGAGUUUACAACUCCCAAACCCCUGUGAACAUACCAUUUGUUGCCUCGGCGGUGCCUGCUUCGGCAGCCCGCCAGAGGACCCAACCCUUGAUUUUAUACAGUAUCUUCUGAGUAAAUGAUUAAAUAAAUCAAAACUUUCAACAACGGAUCUCUUGGUUCUGGCAUCGAUAAAGAACGCAGC
rnacentral:misc_RNA from 1 species